ACACGUAGGAGACAAGCGUUAUCCGGAUUCACUGGGCGUAAAGGGCAAGUAGGCGGUUGCUCAAGUUGGGCGUGACACACUCUGGCUUAACUAGAGGGGGACGUUCAAAACUAGGCAACUAGAGGGCAGGAGAGGAAAGCGGAAUUCCUGGUGUAGCGGUGGAAUGCUUAGAUACCAGGAGGAACACCGGUGGCGAAGGCGGCUUUCUGGUCUGCACCUGACGCUAAGAGGCGAAAGCUAGGGGAGCGAACGGGCUUAGAUACCCCGGUAGUCCUAGCUGUAAACGAUGGAUACUGGGUAUUGGGGGCUAACAUGCUUUCAGUGCCGAAGCAAACGCGUUAAGUAUCCCGCCUGGGGACUACGGCCGCAAGGUUAAA
rnacentral:rRNA from 1 species